rnacentral:rRNA from 1 species
UACAGAGGGUGCAAGCGUUAAUCGGAAUUACUGGGCGUAAAGCGCGCGUAGGUGGUGAUGUAAGACAGUUGUGAAAUCCCCGGGCUCAACCUGGGAACUGCAUCUGUGACUGCAUCGCUGGAGUGCGGCAGAGGGGGAUGGAAUUCCUGGUGUAGCAGUGAAAUGCGUAGAUAUCAGGAGGAACAUCGAUGGCGAAGGCAGCCCCCUGGACCUGUACUGACGCUCAUGCACGAAAGCGUGGGGAGCAAACAGG